GACGAACGCUGGCGGUGUGCUUCACACAUGCAAGUCGAACGAGGUAGCAAUACCUAGUGGCGGACGGGUGAGUAACGCGUGGGAAUCUGCCUUUAGAUGGGGGAUAACGGGUCGAAAGACUCGCUAAUACCGCAUAUGACGAAAGUUGAAAGGAGUAAUCCCGUCUAAAGAUGAGCCCGCGUCCGAUCAGCUAGUUGGUAGAGUAAAAGCCUACCAAGGCGACGAUCGGUAGCUGGUCUGAGAGGAUGAUCAGCCACAAUGGGACUAGAGACACGGCCCAUACUCCUACGGGAGGCAGCAGUGGGAAUUUACGCAAUGGGCGAAAGCCUGACGUAGCGACACCGCGUGAGCGAAGAAGCCCCUUGGGGUGUAAAGCUCUGUCAGCUGGAACGAAAAAAAUGACGGUACCAGCAGAGGAAGCAUCGGCUAACUACGUGCCAGCAGCCGCGGUAAU
rnacentral:rRNA from 1 species